UAUUUCGUCUUCUUAUAAAUACAUAUAUUUCAAAGGAACACAAAAACCUAUAAUUCUUCCAUCCUCUCUCUUCUCUAUCAUUAUUCUAUCUUGAACCAGAUCUCCCAUUAACACGCGUAUAUUUAUGUUCUUUCGUUGUCGGUCAUUGUGUUAUUUCGUGCAUCCGGUUGUCUGCUUUUGAUGGGUAAUUGGGUAAGAUUUAUUUUGUUCUUCUGCUUAUUUUGGGUUUGUUUGCUGUCUACGCGAUCUAUUCUCCGUCUAUGUUCUUCUUACUAAAAGCAGAGCGACUAUCGGUUUGGUCCAUCAUUGGGUACGGCUUUCAAAUUUUAUGUCUUCAUUGGAUUUGAAGCAUAAAGUCUAAGAGACGAUCUGUUCGGCUCCAUGGUCGAUACGAUACCAGGUAUGACUUUCCAUUUUUUAAACCGUUCUUUCUUCAAUUGAUUUCAAGCACUUAAAUCUAAACCAAGCAUUUUAACAUUAUUUCUUCAAUUGAUUUCGAGAACUAACGUCCAAAACAAGCUCAGAAGAAACCCAAACACAAUUCACCCAAAGAGUUUUGAUUCUGUUCGUGACUCCAAGACCUGGAUACUGGAAUAUUGGGAAAGAUGGGAAGAAUACUAUUGCAAAGCAUAUUUCUCCAAGGACCAACCCAUACAUAACCAGGGCAUCCGGGUGUUCCUAUGGCAGAGGGCAGCUCUGAGCCGCUGAAGAUUGAAGGACGGUCAUGGCUAUUCUUCAUAACUUUCUGUACUUUGAUACAGGUGAAAUCCAUGGGGUGUCUAGCAUGUCAUUUAAAACCCUCAAAAGAUAUUGGCAAGUACUUCAAAGUAAAUGUCUAUGGUUUAAGUUGAAACUGUAUCGUGAUGUUAUUGUUGGGGUAAAUAUGGAAGUCUGCUGCUGCAUCAAACAUCUUUUGUUUAUCUGAAAUUGUUUUGGAAUAUCUGCCAUGACAUUUGGAACCUUUUGUCUUGCAAAUGAACUUAACACUAUGAAUUGUAAUUUGUAUAUUUUCGAUUAAUCUGUAACUUGAAAGUCCACUUUGAAACUACGUUGUGUUAUUGUCAAUUCUAUUAGUGUGAUAUCUGCUUGGCAGCUUAGAGGCCAUUUUUGUGUUUAGCUUUCAUUUAUCCCGAUUUGGAACAUAUUAUUGGCUCUCUAGCUGUGUGGUUGUGGAGGAAGGACUGGUUAUUGCAUCAAGAAGAAAUCGAACUACCAAGUCACGGAAUGCUUAAUAUUGUGUACAAAAACAUCUGUUAAUGAUUUUCAAGGUAAAUUGAAGCAGGACUCUCUUUCUAGACUGCCAGUUUCGUCUCUCCGUCUCUCUCCUAUACAACUUUGUUUACCUAUUAUUUGUUCUGUUUGAAAAGGAGAAUGAAGUGAACCACUUCAUGAAAUUUAUAACUUUGCGUCUACGAUUUGCUCAAAAACAUUUGUCUUCCAAGUUUUGUUUGUUA